rnacentral:rRNA from 1 species
UAGGGAAUCUUCCGCAAUGGACGCAAGUCUGACGGAGCAACGCCGCGUGAGUGAAGAAGGAUUUCGGUUCGUAAAACUCUGUUGUUAGAGAAGAACAGCGCAUAGAGUAACUGUUAUGCGUGUGACGGUAUCUAACCAGAAAGCCACGGCUAACUACGUGCCAGCAGCCGCGGUAAUACGUAGGUGGCAAGCGUUGUCCGGAUUUAUUGGGCGUAAAGCGAGCGCAGGCGGUCAAUUAAGUCUGAUGUGAAAGCCCCCGGCUCCACCGGGGAGGGUCAUUGGCAACUGGUUGACUUGAGUGCAGAAGAGGAGAGUGGAAUUCCAUGUGUAGCGGUGAAAUGCGUAGAUAUAUGGAGGAACACCAGUGGCGAAGGCGACUCUCUGGUCUGUAACUGACGCUGAGGCUCGAAAGCGUGGGUAGCAAACAGG